rnacentral:misc_RNA from 1 species
UUGUUGUUGUUAUUAUUAUUAUUAAAUAACAAAAGAGGAGGCUAACUUUACUCCAGUAAGCAUUAGUAAACCAUAUAGGUAAGUUGAAUGAGGUCUUUCUAACUUUUUUCAAUGACAAAAAAAAUAUAUAAAUUUUUGCCCAUUUUUAGCAGCUUGAGAUUUCAGAAUCCAUGGGGAUAUGAGAAUUAAAAUGGUAUCCAAUUUUUUGUAUGUCAUUAUAUAAGUCUGUCCUAAAAACAUUUAGUGAUGAAUAUUUGUUUAUUUAAUUUUCUUUUACUUUGAAAAAUGUAAUUAUCAUAUAUGAGCAUAUUGAUUUAACAAGACAUAUGUUGGUGUAAGGUAGAAAAGUCUUCUUGAGUGCUAUUUUCUGCAUUUUAUAAUUUGCUAGGUCUAAUAGUGUCAUUAUCCUGGUUUCAGCUGGGUGAGUAAGACUUGGUGGUUAUUAACAUCAUUAUAUCGUUCCUUUUUAGGCAAACAAAAUGAUUGGAUCAUUUCUUACAAGAGGACUUGUGUAUGUUAACAAUGACCCAGUUCUCUCUCUCAUUUGAAUUUAAAGGAAUUAUGUUGUUUUUCAAAGUUAAAUUUAUAUAAAUAUAUUGGCAGGAUGGUUUUUGGCUAUGCGUAUCCUGCUUAUGAGUGCUAUAAGACUGUUGAAAAAAAUAAGCCAGAAAUUGAGCAUCUUCGAUUUUGGUGCCAGUACUGGAUUUUGGUGGCUAUGUUGACAGUUUGUGAGAGAAUUGGAGAUGCUUUUAUUUCAUGGUAGGCGAUCUUAGUUUUGAAUGCAGAUGCAAUGUUUGUGAGAGAAUCCAUAUUUUCAUUACGUUUUCCUAUAUUGCUUUCUUGAAGGGUUCCACUGUACAGUGAAGCUAAGCUGGCAUUUUUCAUUUACUUGUGGUACCCUAAGACUAAGGGAACUUCCUAUGUGUAUGAUUCCUUCUUUAGACCAUAUGUCUCAAAGCAUGAGAAUGAAAUUGAUCGCAGCUUGUUGGAACUAAGAACUAGAGCUGGAGAUAUGGCAGUUUCAUACUGGCAAAGGGCUGCAAGCUAUGGUCAGACAAGAGUAUUUGAGACUUUGCAGUAUGUUGCUGCACAGUCAGCUGCUAGGCCUCGUUCUGCUCAGCCACAACACCAAGGUGCCAGGGCUCACCAGCCCGCUGAUGCUCCAAAUCGUCAACCUUCUACUACUUCCAACCGGCAACCAGCUGCAGCACAACCAGAGACUGAAGAACCCCCAUCCCCCACUUCUAGCGCAUCUUCGAGUCAACACCAAAUGGAGGUUGCAGAAGAGGUGGGUCCUUCAGAAGUGCAAAAAGCAACUCCUGCAAUAGUCUCAAAUGCGCAGAAAGCUCCUUCCUCUUCCAAUGCUCAAAAAGCAAAUGCUACUACAUCUGAAACUUUCAGCCAGACCAAGGCAGAAGCAAUGCAAGUUGAAGCAGCGCCUUCAUCAACAAAUGAAAAUGCAAACCCUCCCACAAAAGAGAGUAGUAUGGAAGAAGCCUUUAGGGUUACACGUGCCAGAUUGAGGAAAAGCCGUUCUGGACCAAAAACUUAAAGACUCGUUUCAGACCUUUCCCAAUUUUAGAUUACAGAACUAGCAGUGAGUCAGUAGGUGGGUGGUGAAUGGUUCUUGGAUCAUUGUUGUUGUCGUUUAUGUAAAUUUGUCGCCUUCCAUUUUCUCAUUCCAUUUGUUGCUUUAUUUUUUGAAAAUGAAUUGGCGGAUGAAGGGUGUGGGUUUGAUAGGAGACAAUUGAUGCUACUUUAGAAAUGAUAAAAGUGAAGAUACAGUUCUAAGUUGUUGAAAAGGAUCAAUUGAAAAACAUAAAGAUGGAACGGUGCUUUCGGGGCCCACUUGUGUUCGCAUACAAACUAUAUAAAUUGGAUUUGGUGGAUU